AAGACCGCAUGAGGUGCCGUACGGUGCCGGUGUUACGGAGAAUUCAGUUCCCCCUGUUUCCCCUUUAACGCGCAUGUGCAAAAAUCACGACGUUUUUUUCAGUCGCUUCGUUGAGCGUCGGUUUAUUUGGAAUAUGUAUUUAUAGCGGACUGUAUGAUCAUUGAGAUUGCCUGUGAUGGAUGUGACAGAUGGUACCACCAGUCAUGUGUUGCAACCCACCAGUAGAGGAAGUGUAUUUUAUGUCUGGCAAACCGUCCAAUGCCUCCCACAACACGUCUUGAGCUGGAAGUUGCCCUGGAGCGAGAGUGGCAGAGGAUCCCACAAGAACUGCUGGACAAUCUGGUUCACCCCCACCAAUAUGUCACUUGCUACUCAAUCACGAUAAUUGAGUUUGCAUCUCAAUUGCAUAAUCAAACAACUUUCUUUGACUUGUCGUUUGCUUUGUUGAUGUUCUUGUUUAAUAAAAAAAAUGAUGAUU